GGCAUCACCAUGACUGGAACUGUUUGGACCAAAAGGUGGUAGGGUCACAUCAAAAUCACAUUGUCCUCGUCGAACGGGAGAAUCUUCAUGUACAGCUUCUCUAUUCAAACUGCAAGCUCCGUCAUUGUGAGAAACCAUACUCUUCCUCUGCCUGAGUCAGUAGCUUCCUGAAAAUCGGAUGAUUCAAAUACUUCGCUCGCACCACGA
rnacentral:misc_RNA from 1 species